GACGAACGCUGGCGGCGUGCUUAACACAUGCAAGUCGAACGAUGAACCCGGAGCUUGCUCUGGUGAAUUAGUGGCGAACGGGUGAGUAACACGUGAGUAACCUGCCCUUGACUCUGGGAUAACUGCUAGAAAUGGUAGCUAAUACCGGAUACGACCCUCGGAGGCAUCUUCAGGGGGUGGAAAGAACUUCGGUCAAGGGUGGACUCGCGGCCUAUCAGCUAGUUGGUGAGGUAAUGGCUCACCAAGGCGACGACGGGUAGCCGGCCUGAGAGGGUGACCGGCCACACUGGGACUGAGACACGGCCCAGACUCCUACGGGAGGCAGCAGUGGGGAAUAUUGCACAAUGGGCGCAAGCCUGAUGCAGCAACGCCGCGUGAGGGAUGACGGCCUUCGGGUUGUAAACCUCUUUUAGUAGGGAAGAAGCGAAAGUGACGGUACCUGCAGAAAAAGCACCGGCUAACUACGUGCCAGCCGCCGCGGUAA
rnacentral:rRNA from 1 species